UACGUAGGGUGCGAGCGUUAAUCGGAAUUACUGGGCGUAAAGCGUGCGCAGGCGGUUUUGUAAGCCAGGUGUGAAAUCCCCGGGCUCAACCUGGGAAUGGCAUUUGGGACUGCAAGGCUGGAGUGCGGCAGAGGAGACGUGGAAUUCCUGGUGUAGCAGUGAAAUGCGUAGAUAAUCAGGAGGAACACCGAUGGCGAAGGCAGGUCUCUGGGCUG
rnacentral:rRNA from 1 species